UACGUAGGGGGCUAGCGUUGUCCGGAUUUAUUGGGCGUAAAGAGCGUGUAGGCGGCCCGGUAAGUCCGCUGUAAAAGUCAAAGGCUCAACCUUUGAAUGUCAGUGGAUACUGCCGGGCUAGAGUCCGGAAGAGGCGAGUGGAACUCCUGGUGUAGCGGUGGAAUGCGCAGAUAUCAGGAAGAACACCAGUGGCGAAGGCGGCUCACUGGCCCGGUACUGACGCUGAGGUGCGAAAGCGUGGGGAGCAAACAGG
rnacentral:rRNA from 1 species